rnacentral:rRNA from 1 species
GCAAGUCGUACGCUUCUUUUUCCCCGGAGCUUGCUCCACCGGAAAAAGAAGAGUGGCGAACGGGUGAGUAACACGUGGGUAACCUGCCCAUCAGAAGGGGAUAACACUUGGAAACAGGUGCUAAUACCGUAUAACAAUCGAAACCGCAUGGUUUUGAUUUGAAAGGCGCUUUCGGGUGUCGCUGAUGGAUGGACCCGCGGUGCAUUAGCUAGUUGGUGAGGUAACGGCUCACCAAGGCCACGAUGCAUAGCCGACCUGAGAGGGUGAUCGGCCACAUUGGGACUGAGACACGGCCCAAACUCCUACGGGAGGCAGCAGUAGGGAAUCUUCGGCAAUGGACGAAAGUCUGACCGAGCAACGCCGCGUGAGUGAAGAAGGUUUUCGGAUCGUAAAACUCUGUUGUUAGAGAAGAACAAGGAUGAGAGUAACUGUUCAUCCCUUGACGGUAUCUAACCAGAAAGCCACGGCUAACUACGUGCCAGCAGCCGCGGUAAUACGUAGGUGGCAAGCGUUGUCCGGAUUUAUUGGGCGUAAAGCGAGCGCAGGCGGUUUCUUAAGUCUGAUGUGAAAGCCCCCGGCUCAACCGGGGAGGGUCAUUGGAAACUGGGAGACUUGAGUGCAGAAGAGGAGAGUGGAAUUCCAUGUGUAGCGGUGAAAUGCGUAGAUAUAUGGAGGAACACCAGUGGCGAAGGCGGCUCUCUGGUCUGUAACUGACGCUGAGGCUCGAAAGCGUGGGGAGCAAACAGGAUUAGAUACCCUGGUAGUCCACGCCGUAAACGAUGAGUGCUAAGUGUUGGAGGGUUUCCGCCCUUCAGUGCUGCAGCUAACGCAUUAAGCACUCCGCCUGGGGAGUACGACCGCAAGGUUGAAACUCAAAGGAAUUGACGGGGGCCCGCACAAGCGGUGGAGCAUGUGGUUUAAUUCGAAGCAACGCGAAGAACCUUACCAGGUCUUGACAUCCUUUGACCACUCUAGAGAUAGAGCUUCCCCCUUCGGGGGGCAAAGUGACAGGUGGUGCAUGGUUGUCGUCAGCUCGUGUCGUGAGAUGUUGGGUUAAGUCCCGCAACGAGCGCAACCCUUAUUGUUAGUUGCCAUCAUUUAGUUGGGCACUCUAGCAAGACUGCCGGUGACAAACCGGAGGAAGGUGGGGAUGACGUCAAAUCAUCAUGCCCCUUAUGACCUGGGCUACACACGUGCUACAAUGGGAAGUACAACGAGUCGCGAAGUCGCGAGGCUAAGCUAAUCUCUUAAAGCUUCUCUCAGUUCGGAUUGUAGGCUGCAACUCGCCUACAUGAAGCCGGAAUCGCUAGUAAUCGCGGAUCAGCACGCCGCGGUGAAUACGUUCCCGGGCCUUGUACACACCGCCCGUCACACCACGAGAGUUUGUAACACCCGAAGUCGGUGAGGUAACCUUUGGAGCCAGCCGCCU